CCUACGGGAGGCAGCAGUGGGGAAUAUUGGUCAAUGGGCGGAAGCCUGAACCAGCCAAGUCGCGUGAGGGAAGAAGGCCCUGCGGGUCGCAGACCUCUUUGGACGGGGAGCAAGGCCGCCGACGUGUCGGCGGAAGGAGAGUACCCGUAGAACAAGCAUCGGCUAACUCCGUGCCAGCAGCCGCGGUAAUACGGAGGAUGCGAGCGUUAUCCGGAUUUAUUGGGUUUAAAGGGUGCGCAGGCGGCACGGCAAGCCGGCGGUCAAAUCGCGGGGCUCAACCCCGCCCAGCCGUCGGAACUGCCGGGCUAGAGUGGGCGAGAAGUGCGCGGAAUGCGUGGUGUAGCGGUGAAAUGCAUAGAUAUCACGCAGAACUCCGAUUGCGAAGGCAGCGCACCGGCGCCCGACUGACGCUCAGGCACGAAAGCGUGGGUAUCAAACAGGAUUAGAUACCCUGGUAGUC
rnacentral:rRNA from 1 species